UUUUCACCUAGACGCGUCGGAAAAUUCAAAGUUUAAAUACAAUAGAACCUUGACAAUUCGAAUUAAUCGGGAGACAUGUUCAAACAGGGAAUUGUUAGGUAGGAGAAUAUUUUGUGUGUUGUGAUGUUACUGGUCUUCGUUUAUGCAAUUGAAAAAAUAGAAAGUGAAUAUUGAUAAUGACAGUCGUAAAUACUGAAAUUAUACAUAACUUUUGAACUUAUGACAGAACUAGAAAGUGAUAUUCCGAUUUCUCUACAUUCUGUGAAGCAACGAAGAAGUGAACGUGAAACAAAACACUGAAAAACGAAACUACGUUUACUUUAUUAAUCGCAACCAAUCUUCGAUUGAUUGAGCAUCGGCAGUUUACUGUAAUACCUAUGACCCAGCGAAAUCGAAAGAUCUUUAAUAAAUUAUCUUUAAUAAGAUAAAUUGAAAUUUUUUAGCGUUCGUAUUGUUGGAAGCUUCCCUUGCCAGCCUUAGUUCCAAAGAGAUUUAAUUUCAGAUUGGAAAUAACUCAAUUACGGAAGUAAAUCGAGGAAACUUUCAGGACCCCGUUGAGAACUAUCGUAACUGUGACAGAGACAUGGUUCUGCAGCGAAUAAUGUUAUCGUGGUACAUUCUACGAGUUUCUGGAGAAUAAAGGAAAAUGGAGAAAUAUUCUUACAUGACCAGUUGGGACAGACGUGACUCGAAUUUUCGUUGGAGCAUCAAAAUUAUUGGCCGAUUUCUAGAGAGUACAUUACGUUUCAUACUUUAAAUAAAACUAGGUUUCGAAGAACAGAAAGUACGUGAAGAAUGUAAAGUAUGAACUGUUUUGAAAUCGUCGUAUGGUUGAGAAAGGAAUAUUACUUUCACGUAUAUUACUUCCAUGUAUUUUAUUUAUCUAUUAAUUUUUGUAUAUGUCCACUUUAUUUAUAAUUUUCUAACAUGAAACCUAAUACUUUUCAACGUGUCGACCAUAUUUCCAUCUACUGUCAAGAGAAACCACUGCCUCAAAGAAAGUGACGAUAAGAAUAUAAUCCAGAAUCAUCUGUCGCGUAGACUCUGGCUUUCUUUUCCCUGCCUAGUUCCCUUUGCCACGAAUGAAAGGGACAAUUCUUCUAGCCUUCACGGACAAAGGCACGCGCUGCCUUGAACGUUGUUCAUCUUUGGUCGGUAACUCAGCGAACCGUUCCCAUUCAGACUCUAGCAUCGUCGACUUCUUUAUUGAAAGAUUCUAGGAAAACCGAAAGAAAUUUGAAACACAGACCAGUUAGAGGCAAAAAUGAAUGGAGCAGCGACGAGUGGAGGAAGCUACUCCAUUUCAGAGCUGUGCUGCGAGGAUCUAAAAUAGAUGAGUAUAAUAUAUUCACGAACGUUGUUUGAUUUUGAUACACAGAAAGAUUCUUUGUAGCUUUCCAGAGGAUUCUAUGUAUAGUCAAUAUUAUAAUGACUACAUAUGUUAAAAUUUUAUAUAAUAAAAGUAUCAUAGAUACCAUGCAAGUACAAUAAAAUAAGUAUAACAUCAACAAACCAUGUUUUAAAAUAAUGUGUCGAGAGUUUCAUUCGUUCAGUUGCAAUACAAAUGCAGAAUACGAAAACAAAUAACAAUCGACACCUGAACAAAUUCUAUCAAUCGCGAAAGACGUCGGAGAUUUUCGCUAUAAAGUUGUAAAAAUUUUCAACGACUCGAUGAACCCACGCGCGAG